UACGGAGGGUGCAAGCGUUAUCCGGAUUCACUGGGUUUAAAGGGUGCGUAGGUGGGCAGUUAAGUCAGUGGUGAAAUCUCCGGGCUCAACCCGGAAACUGCCAUUGAUACUAUCUGUCUUGAAUAUCGUGGAGGUAAGCGGAAUAUGUCAUGUAGCGGUGAAAUGCUUAGAUAUGACAUAGAACACCAAUUGCGAAGGCAGCUUACUACCCGAAUAUUGACACUGAGGCACGAAAGCCAGGGGAGCAAACGGG
rnacentral:rRNA from 1 species